rnacentral:rRNA from 1 species
AUUGAACGCUGGCGGCAGGCCUAACACAUGCAAGUCGAGCGGAGCGCGGGACGGGGAAGUAAUGCCUAGGAAUCUGACUGGUAGUGAGGGAUAACGUCAAGUAAGGGGAGCUAUUACCACAUCCUAUUAGCUGAGCCUAGGUCGGAGUAGCUAGUUGGUGGGGUAAAGGCCUACAAAGGCGACGAUCCUGAACUGGUCUGAGAGGAUGAUCAGUCACACUGGAACUGAGACACGGUCCAGACUCCUACGGGAGGCAGCAUUGGGGAAUAUUGGACAAUGGGCGAAAGCCUGACCCAGCCAUGCCGCGUGUGUGAAGAAGGUCUUCGGAUUGUAAAGCACUUUAAGUUGGGAGGCGUUACCUACAGAAUAAGCACCGGCUAACUUCGUGCCAGCAGCCGCGGUAAUUC